UGAAGAAAUGUGUAAGUACAACAAACCACCGUAUUCAAAGUCUAAUAUUUAAACACACUGUGUUUUAAAAAAAUCCCGCUAUUUUGAUCAUUAUUGAAAAUACGUGGGCUGCUGGGUCCUCUGUUUUUAACGAAAUCGUUCUAUAUUUAAGCUAUAUUUAAGCUAGGUUAGCACCACAGACCGUAGGCUACAGGUGGUAAGAUAUGUUGUAUUUUGUUAGAAACUGAUAGUCUGUAAUGUGAUUCAUGUCUGCUUCUCUAAUAUAUUUAAGUGAACAGUAAAUCAAUUGUUUUUUGUGUCUUCAUUUAGGCAAAGAAGAGAUAAAAGCAGCUGGUCUGACAUCUUCCACAGAGGUGAAGUAAACUAAAAAUGACUAAUUUCAACCUUCGUCUGCACACCUGUUACAGAGGUCAGGCUGGGGUCACAUAGUUUGAAGGAACCUCCUCCUUCUUUCACCUGUGCCAGAUGCCCUGCUCAUCCACUGUGGUAGAAAUGACCUUACAUCAGCAGCUCUCCCAGAUGAAGAGUCCUCUCUGCCAUCACCCAGAGGAGCUGAUCAACAUCUUGAGAAGGUGGACAGAGUCUGGUGCUUUGUGACAGUGAACAGUGAGAAGGCUACCAUAGUCAUCCUCAGAUAAAACACAGAGAUCCAGGUCAAUAUUUAAUUUAUUUUUCUUUCCAUGAUGUUGCCCUGUGUUUGACAGGCCAGAUGCUGGAGGGUUGUGUUGGAUUUGUUUUUCCAUCAUAGUUUAACAGUCAAACAAUCAUCCAGGAUCUUUAUACUUUAUUAGAUUUUUGUUUGGAUUUAUUUGUUAAAUUAUUUUUUAUACUUUCUCCUAUGUUCCAGCAGUUCAACCUGAUGGUCUCCCUUACUUAUUUUCCACAUGGUUAAUGAAGCCAGGGGUUGUUUAUUGAAGUUUUUUUUUUUUCAUAAAAUGUUUAAAUAAACUUUUUUAAAAUCUGAAUUGACUGUCUCUGAUUAACUGGAGCACUACAACGUGUUGGUCACAGUAAAAUAAUUUAGCAGUUAAGUUUAUAGCUCACAUUUGAAAAGGCCUUGAACUGACAUUAAUUUCUUCUUGACCAACAACAGCUAAGACAACAGCAAAGCUAA